AUCCUUCCGCAGUUUAUACAUUAAAAUUGAAAUGGUAGAGUGAAGAUGUCCAUGCCACCUGCGCAAGGAUAACACGCAAACUUAAAGGGGCCGAGUUGCCUGCUUAU